UAUAAUGUGGGAAUCACCUACAUUAUGAAAAUUUCUAUUAAUGUAAAAGACUAGUAAAGAGGUGCUAAACAGUCACAAAUGUAUAUAUUUUCACUUGCAGGUCAAUAAAGUGGUCUCUGAGAAGGUAGCAUUAAGGCUGAUAACCUGAAGCAUGACAAAGGGCUUGCCAGGCACAAAAACCAAAACCAACCAACCAACCAACCAACCAACCAACCAACCAACCAACCAAACAUUAGAAGAUAAUGGAAAAUGUUUUAUUUAUAGCAGGGGAAUGCUCAGCAGCUUCCAGAAACUGAAGAAUUCUGUAUGCUAAAGAGUGAACUGAGAGGAAUGGCUUCAUUAAGACAGUGAAGGGUGUUGUGGAUUCAAGACUCACAUCCCUUCUUGAUAGAUCAAUGAACGCUUGGCCACAGUUCACCUACGUGGGGAUUUUGAUUACAGAACUUGGGUCAUCAAUACUAAUGUGCAUCCAAAUAACCUAUGAUGGACCUCUUUCAAAAAUCUGUGUCUCUGGCCUAUCCCUCUGAGAUGGACUUAAGAGAACCCUGCACACCAUCAGUGCUCUCCAAGAGGAUGUCAGAAUGUUCAAACAUAAACAAUAAAAAUAUAGAAGAAAGAGAAACCAAAAGAGCAGAAGAAAGAACAUUGUAUCAAUAGCGUAAUGAGAACCAGAGAAAGAGAACCACCGCAUAUGUCUAUUCUUCCCUUGACCAUGCUACAAACCACCCCGUCAUUCCAGAAGGAGAUCAAGCAAAGAUUUAAAAUGCAUGCCCUUCUCUUUGCUGAGAUUUUUUUUUUCCAUCACAAUUGAAUACUUCUUAAGAAGUUUGCACUAAUAUCUUGAUUACUGUGGUUAUGAUCUAUUUUUGUUCAUCUUUUGUGUGCCUUGAAAUGGGAGAUAUGGGGUUCUAGUCCUGAGUGCUCUAAUAGCAGAAAGAAGGCAAAUAUACAGGUAACAUUUUUUAGUAGUUCCCCUAAAUACUUCCACUUAAAUUUCUUAUAUAUUUAUUUGUUUAUUUAAUUGUUUAUUUGAAGUAACUUCAGAUAGUAGAGAAAAUAAGCAAGGUAGUUUGUCCUUCCAUUCCUAACUGUAAAAUAUAUUUAAACAAUUUUCUGAAGGAAAGAAAGGAUACUAGACUGUAAAGUAAGGUAAACUAUGACCCUCAGGCUAAAUCCAGGCCACAGCUUGUUUUUGGAAAUAAAGUUUAAUUGAACCACAGCCCCAUACAUUUUCUCAUGUAUUAUAUAUGGCUGCUUUCAAAGUACAAUAGCAGGGUUGAAUCUUUGUAACAGAAACCUCAGGCUUGCAAAGCUUAAAAUAUUACUCUCUGGACUUUGCAGAAAAAUUUUAUGAACUCCCAUACAUAGAAAAAAGGAUUAAAAAAGCAUAACUCUGUAUAUACCAAACAUGAUAGCAUUCAGAUAAUCAAAGAGCAAUUUGUAAAUGGCUUUAAGGUUAAUUCCUAGGACUAUUGAUUUGAGUAGUAAUUGGUAAAUGCAGUAGAUUGAGAAGGAAAAUAAAGCCUAAAUGAUUCUUGAAUUCUGAAUUGUAUUGGUCAGAGAGUCUAGAAGUUCGGUGGUAAUAAAGAAUUCCAGUUGGAAUUUACUGAAUACAGUAACAAUUAUAAUCUAGUAUUUGGAUUUUACUGUUUACCACCUAUAGAUAGUUUAUUACUCUGGAAAUAUUUUAUUUUUGGUGCUUCCAAUUUCAAGCAUCACUGGUAUUAUCAGAUGGAAGAGAAAUCUAGACAUGGAAAGUAGUAUUCCCUUGAUAUAGAAGGAACUCGUGUCUUAGUACAACUUCUUAUCAGAAGAAGAGGAGGCAGAGUUCCCACUUUGGUGUAAAGGGAUCAAGGUGUCUCACACUGGGACCCAGGUUCGAUGCCUGGCCUGGCACAAUGGGUUAAGGAUCCUGUGUUGCCGCAAAUGUGGUAUAGGUCACAAUAGUGGCUGGGAUCUGACUCAGGCCUGGGAACUCUAUGUGCUGUGGGAUGGCAAAAAACGAAAAAAAAAAUGGCAAAAAAAAGAGGGAGAGAGAAAGAGGAGGUAUUAUUUUUUUUAUUUCUAAUUUGCUGAAUUUUUACCACUAAUGGGUAUUAGAUUUAUUAAAUUUUUUCCCAUGUCUAUUGAAAUGAUUAUAUGAUUUUUCUCCUUUUCUGUUAAUGUGGUAAGUAAUACUGAUUAAUUUCCAUUUGUUACAUCAACAUUGCUCUUCUAGGAUAAGCCCUUUGUUCCUGCUAUAACAUGCUUAUUAUAUAUUACUAUACAUAUUUUAAUAUGUUAAAAUUUAUUGAAUCUAUAUAAAUAAGAGAUAAGUAAAUAAGAGAUAUUACUCUGUUUUUAUUUUCUUAUAAUGUCUUUGGAUAAUGAAUUAGUAAAUAUUCCUUUCUCCUCUAUUUUCAGAAAGAGUUUUUAUGGGAUUGGCUUUAUUUCUUCUUUAAAUAAUUGGCAGAAUUUGCCAGUAUAGCAAUCUUCCUACAAGUUUUCUCCCUGGAAAGAUUUUGAGCUACAAAUUUAAUUUCUUUCACUUGGUCUUUCUUCUUGGUUUUGUUAAUUUGUAUCUAUCAGGAAAAAUUUCCAUUCCAUCCCAGUGGCUGGAUUUUUUGUCAUUGAAUUAUAUAUAAUAUUAUUAUCCUGAUAUCUAUAGUAUCUGUCAUAUGUCAUUUUUUUCACUCCUAAUAUUGAUAAUUUUGUGUCUUUUCUCUUUUUCUUAAACUAGAAUUUGUGAAUUUCAUUGGUUUAUUUUCAGAAACUCAGUUUUUAGUUUUUCAGUUUAAUAAAACAUUCCAUUCCAUUCAUUUUUGCACUUAUCUCUAUUCUUUCUUUCUUC
rnacentral:lncRNA from 9 species